GCGCCCAUAGCUCAAUUGGAUAGAGCACCUGCCUUCUAAGCAGGUGGUUGCUGGUUCGAGCCCAGCUGGGCGCG
rnacentral:tRNA from 1 species